rnacentral:rRNA from 1 species
UACGAAGGGUGCAAACGUUGCUCGGAAUUAUUGGGCGUAAAGCGCACGUAGGCGGCUUAGCAAGUCGGAAGUGAAAUCCCUCGGCUCAACCAAGGAAGUGCUUUCGAAACUGCUGAGCUUGAAUACUUAAGAGGAUCGCGGAAUUCCAGGUGUAGCGGUGAAAUGCGUAGAUAUCUGGAGGAACACCGGUGGCGAAGGCGGCAUCCUGGACCGACACUGACGCUGAGGAGCGAAAGCCAGGGGAGCAAACGGG